AGCAGCCGCGGUAAUUCCAGCUCCAAUAGCGUAUAUUAAAGUUGUUGCAGUUAAAAGCUCGUAGUUGAAUUUCGGGAUCAACACGUCGGUCGUGCCUUCGGUACGCACUAGCGUCGUUGGUUCCUCCCUUCUGACGAACCAUGAUGUCAUUAACUUGGUGUUUUGGGGAGUUAGGACUGUUACUUUGAAAAAUUAGAGUGUUUAAAGCAGGCAAUCGCUUGAAUACAUUAGCAUGGAAUAAUGAAAUAGGACGUUCGAUCCUAUUUCGUUGGUUUCUAGGAUCAACGUAAUGAUUAAUAGGGAUAGUUGGGGGCAUUAGUAUUCAAUUGUCAGAGGUGAAAUUCUUGGAUUUAUUGAAGACUAACUACUGCGAAAGCA
rnacentral:rRNA from 1 species